rnacentral:rRNA from 1 species
AACGAACGCUGGCGGCAGGCUUAACACAUGCAAGUCGAACGCACCUUUCGGGGUGAGUGGCAGACGGGUGAGUAACGCGUGGGAAUCUACCCUUCUCUACGGGAUAGCUCCGGGAAACUGGAAUUAAUACCGUAUACGUCCUGAGGGAGAAAGAUUUAUCGGGGAAGGAUGAGCCCGCGUUGGAUUAGCUAGUUGGUGGGGUAAAGGCCUACCAAGGCGACGAUCUAUAGCUGGUCUAAGAGGAUGAUCAGCCACAUUGGGACUGAGACACGGCCCAAACUCCUACGGGAAGCAGCAGUGGGGAAUAUUGGACAAUGGGCGCAAGCCUGAUCCAGCCAUGCCGCGUGAGUGAUGAAGGCCCUAGGGUUGUAAAGCUCUUUCAGUGGGGACGAUAAUGACGGUACCCACAGAAGAAGCCCCGGCUAACUUCGUG